GCAGAGUUUAAGGAAAAUGGCAAUAAUAACAACACAUCUUCAGUAUCAGCAAGAAGCUAUUCAGAAGAAUGUUGAACAGUCACCUGACCUGCAGGACCAGUUGAGUCAUUUAUUGAAGUAGCGUGUCAUGACAGAAACUGACUUCCUGGCCUG